rnacentral:rRNA from 1 species
UCCUUUUCGGCAAGCCUUAUCAUGCAAGUCGAGGGGCAGCAUGAACUAGCAAUAGUUUGAUGGCGACCGGCAAACGGGUGCGGAACACGUACACAACCUUCCUUUAAGUGGGGAAUAGCCCAGAGAAAUUUGGAUUAAUACCCCGUAACACAACGAAGUGGCAUCACUUUGUUGUUAUAGUUUCGGCGCUUAAUGAUGGGUGUGCGUAUGAUUAGAUAGUUGGCGAGGUAACGGCUCACCAAGUCUACGAUCAUUAGCUGAUGUGAGAGCAUGAUCAGCCACACGGGCACUGAGACACGGGCCCGACUCCUACGGGAGGCAGCAGUAAGGAAUAUUGGUCAAUGGACGCAAGUCUGAACCAGCCAUGCCGCGUGAAGGAUUAAGGUCCUCUGGAUUGUAAACUUCUUUUAUAUGGGACGAAAAAAGGUCUUUCUAGACCCCUUGACGGUACCAUAUGAAUAAGCACCGGCUAACUCCGUGCCAGCAGCCGCGGUAAUACGGAGGGUGCAAGCGUUAUCCGGAUUCACUGGGUUUAAAGGGUGCGUAGGCGGGCAGGUAAGUCAGUGGUGAAAGCCUGGAGCUCAACUCCAGAACUGCCAUUGAUACUAUCUGUCUUGAAUAUUGUGGAGGUAAGCGGAAUAUGUCAUGUAGCGGUGAAAUGCUUAGAUAUGACAUAGAACACCCAUUGCGAAGGCAGCUUACUACGCAUAUAUUGACGCUGAGGCACGAAAGCGUGGGGGAUCAAACAGGAUUAGAUACCCUGGUAGUCCACGCCCUAAACGAUGGGAUACUCGACAUACGCGAUACACUGUGUGUGUCUGAGCGAAAGCAUUAAGUAUCCCACCUGGGAAGUACGUUCGCAAGAAUGAAACUCAAAGGAAUUGACGG